CCUACGGGAGGCUGCAGUGGGGACUAUUGCACAAUGGGGGAAACCCUGAUGCAGCGACGCCGCGUGAGUGAAGAAGUAUCUCGGUACGUAAAGCUCUAUCAGCAGGGAAGAACAUGACGGUACCUGACUAAGAAGCCCCGGCUAACUACGUGCCAGCAGCCGCGGUAAUACGUAGGGGGCAAGCGUUAUCCGGAUUUACUGGGUGUACAGGGAUCGUAGACGGCAGCACAAGUCUGGAGUGAACUCCCGGGGCUUAACCCCGGAACUGCUUUGGAAACUGUGCGGCUGGAGUGCAGGAGGGGUAAGCGGAAGUCCUAGUGUAGCGGUGAAAGGCGUAGAUAUUAGGAGGAACACCGGCGGCGAAGGCGGCUUACUGGACUGUAACUGACGUUGAGGCUCGAAAGCGUGGGGAGCAAACAGGAUUAGAUACCCCUGUAGUC
rnacentral:rRNA from 1 species